CAUGGUUUAGGGGAAGAUUACAAAAAGCUUUCUCAGAGUUUGAUAACUUAGAGCUGGAGGGGGUGAUUUUAUUGAAAGCAGGAAGAGGAUCUUCUUGCUUCAUCCAUCCUCUUGGCAAAGCCAUUCUUGUGUAAAUAGCUAAGGUAGGCAGAGGCCGGUCUGCGGCGGCGGAGCAGCUGUAAUUGUUUUGGGGAAGCUGUCUGGGUCUCAGCUGGUUGUGCUCAGCAUGAGGCUCAGUGGGAGAACGCAGCACAAGCGCAGGACGCAUAUAUUCCCAAGCUUGCAGGAGCAAA